UACGUAGGGUGCGAGCGUUGUCCGGAAUUAUUGGGCGUAAAGAGCUCGUAGGCGGUUUGUUGCGUCUAUCGUGAAAACCUGCAGCUUAACUGUGGGCUUGCAGUGGAUACGGACAGACUAGAGGUAGGUAGGGGAGAAUGGAAUUCCCGGUGUAGCGGUGAAAUGCGCAGAUAUCAGGAAGAACACCCGUGGCGAAGGCGGUUCUCUGGGACGGUACUGACGCUGAGACGCGAAAGCGUGGGGAGCGAACAGG
rnacentral:rRNA from 1 species